UCCUACGGGAGGCAGCAGUGGGGAAUAUUGCACAAUGGGCGCAAGCCUGAUGCAGCCAUGCCGCGUGUGUGAAGAAGGCCUUCGGGUUGUAAAGCACUUUCAGCGGGGAGGAAGGGUCACUAGUUAAUACCUAGUGGCAUUGACGUUACUCGCAGAAGAAGCACCGGCUAACUCCGUGCCAGCAGCCGCGGUAAUA
rnacentral:rRNA from 1 species